rnacentral:rRNA from 1 species
GCAAGUCGAGCGCAUCCUUCGGGAUGAGCGGCGGACGGGUUAGUAACGCGUGGGAACGUGCCCUUCUCUAUGGAAUAGCCAUUGGAAACGAUGAGUAAUACCAUAUACGCCCUUCGGGGGAAAGAUUUAUCGGAGAAGGAUCAGCCCGCGUUAGAUUAGAUAGUUGGUGGGGUAAUGGCCUACCAAGUCUACGAUCUAUAGCUGGUUUUAGAGGAUGAUC